UACGUAGGGCGCAAGCGUUAUCCGGAAUUAUUGGGCGUAAAGAGCUCGUAGGCGGUUUGUCGCGUCUGCCGUGAAAGUCCGGGGCUCAACUCCGGAUCUGCGGUGGGUACGGGCAGACUAGAGUGAUGUAGGGGAGACUGGAAUUCCUGGUGUAGCGGUGAAAUGCGUAGAUAUCUGGAGGAACACCGGUGGCGAAGGCGGCAUCCUGGACCGGCAUUGACGCUGAGGAGCGAAAGCCAGGGGAGCAAACGGG
rnacentral:rRNA from 1 species